UGGGAUGGGAGGUAAGGCCACACAGUUGGGGGCUUUUUCAUAUGAGAUCCUUUCAUUCUCACAGAGCCCCUAAGAUAGUGCUUUUCUCUACAGAAACACAAAGCAGGCUCAGAGAGGCUGAGAAACCCAACAAAAGUGACACAGCAGUAAGGCUCAGAACUGGGACUCAGACCUAAUCUGGCCAUCCCCACUGCCCCAGGCCCUCUCAGCAGGCACAACACAAGGCCCUGCAGGUGACCAGCUCUGAUUCUGCAGAGUGACAUCACAAGGCCGCUGGGCAGAAAGGUGGAACUGGCACUCCAGGCAGGUCAGAGGAGUGGGGCUGGCCCACCACUCUCUCCAUGCUGAAGUCUCCCAGGGACAGCACGCCUGCUUCACAAGCUUGUGGUUUCCAGGUGUCCACAGUGCCCUGUUCUGGUGUCCAUGCUGACCCCAUUGUUAAGAUGACCGGUCUGGGCCCUCCAAGGGGGAGGAAUGGUGCU
rnacentral:lncRNA from 1 species